CACGGUGGAUGCCUUGGCACUAGGAGCCGAUGAAGGACGGGACUAACACCGAUAUGCUUUGGGGAGCUGUACGUAAGCUAUGAUCCAGAGAUUUCCGAAUGGGGGAACCCAGCAUCUUUUAUAGGAUGUUACGUUUGCGUGAAUACAUAGCGCAUUCGAGGUAGACGCAGAGAACUGAAACAUCUAAGUACCUGCAGGAAGAGAAAGAAAAUUCGAUUCCCUGAGUAGCGGCGAGCGAAACGGGAAAAGCCCAAACCAAUGAGCUUGCUCAUUGGGGUUGUAGGACUCCAAUAUGGUAGUUCUUUCAGAUAGUCGAAUGACUUGGAAAAGUCAGUCAAAGAGGGUAAAAACCCCGUAGAUGAAAUUUGGAAGGCACCUAGGAGGAUCCUGAGUACGGCGGAACACGAGGAAUUCCGUCGGAAUCCGGGAGGACCAUCUCCCAAGGCUAAAUACUCCCUAGUGACCGAUAGUGAACCAGUACCGUGAGGGAAAGGUGAAAAGCACCCCGGAAGGGGAGUGAAAUAGAACCUGAAACCGUGUGCCUACAACAAGUCAAAGCCCGUUAAUGGGUGAUGGCGUGCCUUUUGUAGAAUGAACCGGCGAGUUACGAUUGCAUGCGAGGUUAAGUUGAAGAGACGGAGCCGCAGCGAAAGCGAGUCUGAAUAGGGCGUUUGAGUAUGUAGUCGUAGACCCGAAACCAUGUGAUCUACCCAUGUCCAGGUUGAAGGUGCGGUAAAACGCACUGGAGGACCGAACCCACGUACGUUGAAAAGUGCGGGGAUGAGGUGUGGGUAGCGGAGAAAUUCCAAACGAACUUGGAGAUAGCUGGUUCUCUCCGAAAUAGCUUUAGGGCUAGCCUCGGAAUUGAGAAUGAUGGAGGUAGAGCACUGUUUGGACUAGGGGCCCAUCUCGGGUUACCGAAUUCAGAUAAACUCCGAAUGCCAUUCAUUCAUAUCCGGGAGUCAGACUGUGAGUGAUAAGAUCCAUAGUCGAAAGGGAAACAGCCCAGACCACCAGCUAAGGUCCCAAAAUAUAUGUUAAGUGGAAAAGGAUGUGGGGUUGCACAGACAACUAGGAUGUUGGCUUAGAAGCAGCCACCAUUUAAAGAGUGCGUAAUAGCUCACUAGUCGAGUGACCCUGCGCCGAAAAUGUACCGGGGCUAAACAUAUUACCGAAGCUGUGGAGUACACCUUUAGGUGUAUUGGUAGGAGAGCGUUCUAAGGGCGUUGAAGGUAGAUCGUGAGGACUGCUGGAGCGCUUAGAAGUGAGA
rnacentral:rRNA from 1 species